rnacentral:pre_miRNA from 1 species
UUCUUUAUAUGCUGGGGACCACGCUGGGUUCGCUUUGUAAUUAAGAAUUAGUGAACACAGCUGGUGGUAUCUCAGUUUAUGCUGAAAC